UGUAUAAAAGGGAAGGAUGUUAAAAUCAUAACAUUCAAACACUUGGUUGCAGUUAUAAUACACAAAGUAUUCAUUUAGUGUUUUGUGUUGAGAGCAAUGAUAGCAGGGACGUUCCUCAUCUUUGGUGCGCUGAUGGUAACAUUACUUCUGGGCGGCAAACAUUUACUCGCAAUGGACCGUGUUAAUAAUGAAAUUCCAAUUACAAAUUUAACUGGAUUUGGCGGUGACAAGGUCAAUUUGGUGUUAAGAAGAUUAAAAAUGUAUAAAGAACAAUAAUAUAACGAAGGUGGAUAGAUAUUAAAAUGCUACUUCGAUGAUUUCGUUUGUUAUAUCAAUAUAUUAAUUCUAUAAAUAUUUAAUUGUAUGUUAAUAUUAUACGUUAUUUAACAUAAA